UACGAAGGGGGCUAGCGUUGCUCGGAAUCACUGGGCGUAAAGCGCACGUAGGCGGAUUCUUAAGUCGGUGGUGAAAGCCUGGAGCUCAACUCCAGAACUGCCUUCGAUACUGUCUGUCUUGAGUCCGGGAGAGGUGAGUGGAAUUCCUAGUGUAGAGGUGAAAUUCGUAGAUAUUAGGAAGAACACCAGUGGCGAAGGCGGCUCACUGGCCCGGUACUGACGCUCAUGUGCGAAAGCGUGGGGAGCAAACAGG
rnacentral:rRNA from 1 species